rnacentral:rRNA from 1 species
AGUGAACGCUGGCGGUAGGCCUAACACAUGCAAGUCGAACGGCAGCACAGUAAGAUCUUGCUCUUACGGGUGGCGAGUGGCGGACGGGUGAGGAAUACAUCGGAAUCUACUUUUUCGUGGGUGAUAACGUAGGGAAACUUACGCUAAUACCUCAUACGACCUACGGGUGAAAGCAGUGGAUCUUCGGACCUUGCGCGAUUGUAUUAGCCGAUGUCGGAUUAGCUAGUUGGCGGGGUAAAGGCCCACCAAGGCGACGAUCCGUAGCUGGUCUGAGAGGAUGAUCAGCCACACUGGAACUGAGACACGGUCCAGACUCCUACGGGAGGCAGCAGUGGGGAAUAUUGGACAAUGGGCGCAAGCCUGAUCCAGCCAUACCGCGUGGGUGAAGAAGGCCUUCGGGUUGUAAAGCCCUUUUGUUGGGAAAGAAAAGAAGCAGGUUAAUACCCCGCUGUUCUGACGGUACCCAAAGAAUAAGCACCGGCUAACUUCGUG